UAUGGAGGGAGCUAGCGUUGUUCGGAAUUACUGGGCGUAAAGCGCACGUAGGCGGCUACACAAGUCAGAGGUGAAAGCCCGGGGCUCAACCCCGGAACUGCCUUUGAAACUGGGUGGCUAGAAUCUUGGAGAGGCGAGUGGAAUUCCGAGUGUAGAGGUGAAAUUCGUAGAUAUUCGGAAGAACACCAGUGGCGAAGGCGACUCGCUGGACAAGUAUUGACGCUGAGGUGCGAAAGCGUGGGGAGCAAACAGG
rnacentral:rRNA from 1 species